AAUUUACACAACUUUACUGAUUUUGAUCUAGUUGUAGGACUUAUUUAAAUGGUUAAACCAAACCUUUAUCUUCCUCUACUUUAAUGUAAGCGAGAGGACAAGGGAAUUCCCUUUACCGCAAUUUCCUUUCUUUUUUCUUUUUUGUCCGGGGAGAGUAAGCGCUCCGUUCCUGCCUGCGUUCUACGUUUUACGAUUUUCCAGUCCGGAUUUUACACGCAACCGGACUGCUCUGGAAGUUCAAUCUAUUUUUCUACUGCAGCCCGGAGAGUGACUGAGGCAGAAUCACACGCAGUCACAGGACCAGUGGAUCCUUGCACCAGCAACUUACAUGUACUAGACUUUAGAGGAGCUGUCCAUUUACUUCCCAUCACCCACAGUUCAAAGCUGCCCCACUUCAUAGCUAUUCCACCUCUCUGCCGUCAAAAACGAGGGAAAGAAACCACUUUGUGGAGCCUAGGAAGCAGGGACUAUUUUCUCUUACUAUGUCCUCUCCUGGGCUGCUGUAAUGAACAACAUUCCUAGGUUGAAGUCUCUCUGCUUUGUGCCUAUUAGCUGUUCCCGUUCCCUCCCUCUUCUGCUUGUUUUCCACCCUAAUAAAGAUAAUACAGGAAAUAACCAUUGCAGACCCCUUGCGAAGUGACCCGGAGUUGAAGUUAAGUGCUUAAGUCCCAAGAUGCUCAAGGACGAAUGUUUUGGACAGUUAACAUAAUUGUUUCUCUUGCAAAGUGCCAGCAAAAGGGGAGGGGGGGAAGCUGUCUGCAACUGCUCCACAUACAUCAGUAGUUGUCAGUAAAAUCUAACUGACGUCAUCCCCGGGUAAAAAGAGCUGUCUCUUUUGUUCUUCUCUCCCUCCCCCACUCUACAUCAAAAUAUUUAAAAAGAGAGAGAAAAUCCACCUCCCUUAUAUGCAACCUUAAUUGCAAUGCAAAAGAAGACCUUCCACUAAAGCUUGCCUAGGCUGUGCUACAUUUUAAUGAAUGCAAGCUUGCCUUUUGAUCUCUCCGAGUCGGUUGGGUUCAGCAGUGCCGGAAGGAACAUCCAGGAAAACAGCCUCUGUAACUCGCAAGUCUGCACGCUGCAUUAUGAAUCCCAGCUACACCUAAGCAAGGGAGGUGAGAAAGAAAAGAAAAAAACACACACAGAGAGAGCGAGAGCGCUUUCACCUUCUUAGAAGCUCAGAGGAACUGUUUCCAUUUAGAAAGGCCAAAACAGAUGUCCAUGUUACUACGUCUCAUCUAAUUCCAGGGUUCAAAACUGUGUGGGAAGCCCACAUGUGCAGAGCUGGCUCCCUGCUUCAGACCUCCCGCCUUCAUGUGGGGACUGGAGGGACAACGGGUCCAGCAAUGGAUGCAGAGGGUUUGAAUUGUCCUCAUGGCUCAGGAGAGACAAAGAUGUCUCCUCUCUCCUUGGACGGUUGAAGAAGACGACAAAGUAUGGCCAGGUCAGCUUUCCUGAGCAUAUCAGUUUACAACAGAAGGAAGUUUGGUAGAGAACAGCACAGAUAAAGUUCUCAAACACAUGAAUGUGAUAUGAGAUUACAGCUCAAAGAUUUGAAGGAUCAUGAGUACCACCAGAAUAUCUGCUUUAGCAGUUUACCUGAAUUCUUCAGUUUUCCUGCCUGGGUGCCGGGCAGACUCCUCCCACGUUGCCAUCCCUGGGGAUUUCUGAGCAGCACACGCUCCAGGGGAAAAUGAAAGAGCAACCUCUUGGCAACGUGUCUCUGGUUGCAAUCCAUGCGUGCGGUGGAGAAAUCAAGGCAGGCUUAGCAUUCCUAAGCAGAAGGUCAGGAAAUAGCAAGCAAACUUUUCAGUUCUGAAGAGCUCUUGGGCAGGGGUUACACAAAGCAAAAGGGAGGAUGGAAGAGGAAUAUGAGAAUAAGAAGGUUUUUCCUCUCUCCUCACUUUGUAUAACCUUGCCUGAUGAAGAGGUCUGCAGAAUUCGAAAGCUUGCUCACUAUUUUCCAACACUGGAAAAUCUUUGCAGGAAAAUGGCGGUGGUAACAGCAGCUGCCUCCACCUGCUCCGUUCCCUACAGAAGGCACUACCAACGCAGCGGCACGAGAGUGGGUCGGGAGAGACCGGAGGACAAUGGAGUUGGGUCCCUUACCCCGGCUGAGUGGUUCUCCAUCUCGGCAGAGCAGUUGCCUCUUGUUUGUCGCCGAGGCCACCAAGGGGGUCUCAGUCCAUGAGGGAAGCUGGAGGAGGGGCGCCUGAGGGCUGAUUUAUCCUCGGCUGCUGCGGCCAUGACUCCGCUCUUGGGGGAGCUUUUUCCUUGUGGAGAGGGGGGACGUGAGGGAGACCGGUCUGCAGGUAUGCCAUCCCCAGAGUGUGGGGGGAGACUGUGGUGGCGGCAACUCUCGGCCUGCUCCCCACGUUUGUCUUCGUUGCCUGCUAUCCUGGCACAACUGAGGAGUCUUCCUUGCUCGGCAGGGCGGGGCUCUCCCUGAGGUGCGCCGGUGCUGUUGGUCACUCGAUGCCGCUGCUUGAGAUCAGGCCACCAGGGAAGAACUACAGAGGGCGGUUGGCAGAGACUGGUGGAGUUUAAAAGGACUUUUGUUACUAGAAGAUUGAGACUGUGAAUAACAUCAUGGUAGCUAAGUUGAAGUUGAAAUUGUGUUACUUCUUUUCUACUUUCGCCAUAUUGACUAGCUGUGUAAUAGGAUUGUUACGAUGUGUAGGAUGUAGUAGGAUUGUUACAAUGUGUUAUGUUAUAUUUAUAGUGUUGGUAUGGUUUUUGUGUUGCUGUUAUAUUUGCCAUUUGUUUUUUCUCUACUGUUGUAUUAUCUUGCUUGAAAUUGUUUUUGGCAUUGUUU